CCCUUAGAUGUUCUGGGCCGCACGCGCGCUACACUGAUGCAUUCAUCGAGCCUAUCCUUGACCGACAGGUCCGGGUAAUCUUUGAAUCUGCAUCGUGACGGGGAUAGAUUAUUGCAAUUAUUAAUCUUCAACGAGGAAUGCCUAGUAGGCGCAAGUCAUCAGCUUGCGUCGAUUACGUCCCUGCCCUUUGUACACACCGCCCGUCGCUCCUACCGAUUGGGUGUGCUGGUGAAAUGUUCGGAUCGGCCGUUUGUCGCGGUUUCCGCGGCUCGCGGCUGAGAAGUUCAUUAAACCCUCCCACCUAGAGGAAGGAGAAGUCGUAACA
rnacentral:rRNA from 1 species